rnacentral:hammerhead_ribozyme from 1 species
GCACUACUGAAGAGUCCUAAACAGGACGAAACAGCUGUUCAGUGC